GGGGGCGACUGGUUUCGACAGGGUAGUUCUGAGGUGGGCAGCAGGCCGUGGUCUCCUCGCCACGUAAAACAGGGGUACCGUCAAAUUUAAUUGACAACGAUUCUUACCAGGGCUAUGCCCUCGCUGCUUAAUUAUUAACUAGCAGCCGUCAAUCCCGGGAUCGCUCCCGUCCCCGGUGCGACGUCAUUUAGGGAGAUGCUCUCUGGGACGUAGUCGGUAUGCCCAGGGAAAAGCAAGAACCGGCUGGGACGCCAAGCGCGGGUCGCCAAGUGCGCGGCGUCCAAGAUCCAAUUGGCGACUAAGCUUGUAGACACCUGCCAGGGAGCUGCUUUGGACCGGAGUUCGAUUCUCCGCGCCUCCACCA
rfam:Olsenella umbonata strain DSM 22620 genome assembly, chromosome: I